UGNNNNUCGAACGCUGAAGCCCGAGCUUGCUCGGGUGGAUGAGUGGCGAACGGGUGAGUAACACGUGAGUAACCUGCCCAUGUCUCUGGGAUAAGCGCUGGAAACGGCGUCUAAUACUGGAUACGAGCAUCCACUGCAUGGUGAGGUGUUGGAAAGAUUUAUCGGACAUGGAUGGACUCGCGGCCUAUCAGCUUGAUGGUGAGGUAAUGGCUCACCAUGGCGACNACGGGUAGUCGGCCUGAGAGGGUGACCGGCCACACUGGGACUGAGACACGGCCCANACUCCUACGGGAGGCAGCAGUGGGGAAUAUUGCACAAUGGGCGCAAGCCUGAUGCAGCAACGCCGCGUGAGGGAUGACGGCCUUCGGGUUGUAAACCUCUUUUGUCAGGGAAGAAGCCUUUGGGUGACGGUACCUGGAGAAAAAGCACCGGCUAACUACGUGCCAGCAGCCGCGGUAAUACGUAGGGUGCAAGCGUUGUCCGGAAUUAUUGGGCGUAAAGAGCUCGUAGGCGGCUUGUCGCGUCUGCUGUGAAAACCCGAGGCUCAACCUCGGGCCUGCAGUGGGUACGGGCAGGCUAGAGUGCGGUAGGGGAGAUUGGAAUUCCUGGUGUAGCGGUGGAAUGCGCAGAUAUCAGGAGGAACACCGAUGGCGAAGGCAGAUCUCUGGGCCGCUACUGACGCUGAGGAGCGAAAGCAUGGGGAGCGAACAGGAUUAGAUACCCUGGUAGUCCAUGCCGUAAACGUUGGGAACUAGAUGUAGGGCCUGUUCCACGGGUUCUGUGUCGUANCUAACGCAUUAAGUUCCCCGCCUGGGGAGUACGGCCGCAAGGCUAAAACUCAAAGGAAUUGACGGGGGCCCGC
rnacentral:rRNA from 1 species